AAGGUAAUGGGAGAAUCGGGAAACCGGCAAAACUCCGGUACGUGCCCAACGCUGUGAUGGUGAUCGCUUAACAACAAAGCCACUAGACUUAUCUCUGGGAAGGCAUUUAAGCGAGUUGACCCUAAGUCAGAAGACCGGCCUAAAAGAUA
rnacentral:ncRNA from 1 species